CAAUAGCGUAUAUUAAAGUUGUUGCAGUUAAAAAGCUCGUAGUUGAAUUUCUGGUGGGCGCGCCGGUCUUCCAAGUGUUGUACUGGGCGCAGUCCGCCAUCCUUGUGGAGAGGGCUCGCAUUGAGUUGCGUGUCGGAUCUGCAUCAUUUACUGUGAAAAAAUUAGAGUGUUUAAAGCAGGCUGUCGCUUGAAUACAUUAGCAUGGAAUAAUAAGAUAGGACUUCGGUCUAUUUUGUUGGUUGCGAACCGAGGUAAUGAUUAAUAGGGAUAGUUGGGGGUAUUCAUAUUUAAUUGUCAGAGGUGAAAUUCUUGGAUUUAUGAAGGAUGAACAACUGCGAAAGCAUUUACCAAGGAUGUUUUCAUUA
rnacentral:rRNA from 1 species